rnacentral:rRNA from 1 species
UGGGGAAUAUUGGGCAAUGGGCGCAAGCCUGACCCAGCAACGCCGCGUGAAGGAAGAAGGCUUUCGGGUUGUAAACUUCUUUUCUCAGGGACGAAGAAAAUGACGGUACCUGAGGAAUAAGCCACGGCUAACUACGUGCCAGCAGCCGCGGUAAUACGUAGGUGGCGAGCGUUAUCCGGAUUUACUGGGUGUAAAGGGCGUGUAGGCGGGAUUGCAAGUCAGACGUGAAAACUAUGGGCUCAACCCAUAGCCUGCGUUUGAAACUGUAGUUCUUGAGUGCUGGAGAGGCAAUCGGAAUUCCGUGUGUAGCGGUGAAAUGCGUAGAUAUACGGAGGAACACCAGUGGCGAAGGCGGAUUGCUGGACAGUAACUGACGCUGAGGCGCGAAAGCGUGGGGAGCAAACA